UUGAAGAGUUUGAUCAUGGCUCAGAUUGAACGCUGGCGGCAGGCCUAACACAUGCAAGUCGAACGGUAACAGAAAGCAGCUUGCUGCUUUGCUGACGAGUGGCGGACGGGUGAGUAAUGUCUGGGAAACUGCCUGAUGGAGGGGGAUAACUACUGGAAACGGUAGCUAAUACCGCAUAACGUCGCAAGACCAAAGAGGGGGACCUUCGGGCCUCUUGCCAUCGGAUGUGCCCAGAUGGGAUUAGCUUGUUGGUGGGGUAACGGCUCACCAAGGCGACGAUCCCUAGCUGGUCUGAGAGGAUGACCAGCCACACUGGAACUGAGACACGGUCCAGACUCCUACGGGAGGCAGCAGUGGGGAAUAUUGCACAAUGGGCGCAAGCCUGAUGCAGCCAUGCCGCGUGUAUGAAGAAGGCCUUCGGGUUGUAAAGUACUUUCAGCGGGGAGGAAGGGAGUAAAGUUAAUACCUUUGCUCAUUGACGUUACCCGCAGAAGAAGCACCGGCUAACUCCGUGCCAGCAGCCGCGGUAAUACGGAGGGUGCAAGCGUUAAUCGGAAUUACUGGGCGUAAAGCGCACGCAGGCGGUUUGUUAAGUCAGAUGUGAAAUCCCCGGGCUCAACCUGGGAACUGCAUCUGAUACUGGCAAGCUUGAGUCUCGUAGAGGGGGGUAGAAUUCCAGGUGUAGCGGUGAAAUGCGUAGAGAUCUGGAGGAAUACCGGUGGCGAAGGCGGCCCCCUGGACGAAGACUGACGCUCAGGUGCGAAAGCGUGGGGAGCAAACAGGAUUAGAUACCCUGGUAGUCCACGCCGUAAACGAUGUCGACUUGGAGGUUGUGCCCUUGAGGCGUGGCUUCCGGAGCUAACGCGUUAAGUCGACCGCACGGGAGUACGGCCGCAAGGUUAAAACUCAAAUGAAUUGACGGGGCCCGCACAAGCGGUGGAGCAUGUGGUUUAAUUCGAUGCAACGCGAAGAACCUUACCUGGUCUUGACAUCCACAGAACUUUCCAGAGAUGGAUUGGUGCCUUCGGGAACUGUGAGACAGGUGCUGCAUGGCUGUCGUCAGCUCGUGUUGUGAAAUGUUGGGUUAAGUCCCGCAACGAGCGCAACCCUUAUCCUUUGUUGCCAGCGGUCCGGCCGGGAACUCAAAGGAGACUGCCAGUGAUAAACUGGAGGAAGGUGGGGAUGACGUCAAGUCAUCAUGGCCCUUACGACCAGGGCUACACACGUGCUACAAUGGCGCAUACAAAGAGAAGCGACCUCGCGAGAGCAAGCGGACCUCAUAAAGUGCGUCGUAGUCCGGAUUGGAGUCUGCAACUCGACUCCAUGAAGUCGGAAUCGCUAGUAAUCGUGGAUCAGAAUGCCACGGUGAAUACGUUCCCGGGCCUUGUACACACCGCCCGUCACACCAUGGGAGUGGGUUGCAAAAGAAGUAGGUAGCUUAACCUUCGGGAGGGCGCUUACCACUUUGUGAUUCAUGACUGGGGUGAAGUCGUAACAAGGUAACCGUAGGGGAACCUGCGGUUGGAUCACCUCCUU
rnacentral:rRNA from 1 species